rnacentral:lncRNA from 1 species
ACAGAGGCCGCCCGCCAAGUAUGGUGCCAUUCCGAGUCCCGCGGACGAACUUCGCCCACGCCCCCCACCAAGGCUAUAGCCCACCCGUUUUUUGGCCAGUUUUCCGCUGGGGAGUCUUGGGUCCCCGACCAUCGGGGGCUUAUUUUCGGGCGCGGCUGUGCCCGUGGCCUAUUUUUGGCACACAGAGGCCGCCCGCCAAGUAUGGUGCCAUUCCGAGUCGCGCGGACGAACUUCGCCCACGCCCCCCACCAAGGCUAUAGCCCACCCGUUUUUUGGCCAUUUUUCCGCUGGGGGGUCUUGGGACCCCGACCUUCGGGGGCUGAUUUUUGGGCGCGGCUGUGCCCGUGGCCUAUUUUUGGUACACAGAGGCCGCCCGCCAAGUAUGGUGCCAUUCCGAGUCCCGCGGACGAACUUCGCCCACGCCCCCCACCAAGGCUAUAGCCCACGCGUUUUUUGGCCAUUUUUCCGCUGGGGGGUCUUGGGUCCCCGACCUUCGGGGGCUGAUUUUUGGGCGCGGCUGUGCCCGUGGCCUAUUUUUGGCACACAGAGGCCGCCCGCCAAGUAUGGUGCCAUUCCGAGUCCCGCGGACGAACUUCGCCCACGCCCCCCACCAAGGCUAUAGCCCACCCGUUUUUUGGCCAUUUCUCCGCUGGGGGGUCUUGGGACCCCGACCUUCGGGGGCUGAUUUUUGGGAGAGGCUGUGCCCGUGGCCUAUUUUUAGCACACGGAUGCCCCCCGCCAAGUCUGGUGCCAUUCCGAGUCCCGCGGACGAACUUCGCCCACGCCGCCCACCAAGGCUAUAGCCCACCCGUUUUUUGGCCAUUUUUCCGCUGGGGGGUCUUGGGACCCCGACCUUCGGGGGCUGAUUUUUGGGCGCGGCUGUGCCCGUGGCCCCAUUUUUGGUACACAGAGGCCGCCCGCCAAGUAUGGUGCCAUUCCGAGUCCCGCGGACGAACUUCGCCCACGCCGCCCACCAAGGCUAUAGCCCACCCGUUUUUUGGCCAGUUUUCCGCUGGGGGGUCUUGGGACCCCGACCAUCGGGGGCUGAUUUUUGGGCGCGGCUGUGCCCGUUGCCUAUUUUUGGCACACAGAGGCCGCCCGCCAAGUAUGGUGCCAUUCCGAGUCCCGCGGACGAACUUCGCCCACGCCGCCCACCAAGGCUAUAGCCCACCCGUUUUUUGGCCAUUUUUCCGCUGGGGGGUCUUGGGACCCCGACCUUCGGGGGCUGAUUUUUGGGCGCGGCUGUGCCCGUGGCCUAUUUUUGGUACACAGAGGCCGCCCGCCAAGUAUGGUGCCAUUCCGAGUCCCGCGGACGAACUUCGCCCACGCCCCCCACCAAGGCUAUAGCCCACCCGUUUUUUGGCCAGUUUUCCGCUGGGGAGUCUUGGGACCCCGACCAUCGGGGGCUGAUUUUUGGGCGCGGCUGUGCCCGUGGCCUAUUUUUGGCACACAGAGGCCGCCCGCCAAGUAUGGUGCCAUUCCGAGUCCCGCGGACGAACUUCGCCCACGCCCCCCACCAAGGCUAUAGCCAACCCGUUUUUUGGCCAUUUUUCCGCUGGGGGGUCUUGGGACCCCGACCUUCGGGGGCUGAUUUUUGGGCGCGGCUGUGCCCGUGGCCUAUUUUUGGCACACAGAGGCCGCCCGCCAAGUAUGGUGCCAUUCCGAGUCCCGCGGACGAACUUCGCCCACGCCGCCCACCAAGGCUAUAGCCCACCCGUUUUUUGGCCAUUUUUCCGCUGGGGGGUCUUGGGACCCCGACCUUCGGGGGCUGAUUUUUGGGCGCGGCUGUGCCCGUGGCCUAUUUUUGGUACACAGAGGCCGCCCGCCAAGUAUGGUGCCAUUCCGAGUCCCGCGGACGAACUUCGCCCACGCCCCCCACCAAGGCUAUAGCCCACCCGUUUUUUGGCCAUUUUUCCACUGGGGGGUCUUGGGACCCCGACCUUCGGGGGCUGAUUUUUGGGCGCGGCUGUGCCCGUGGCCUAUUUUUGGCACACAGAGGCCGCCCGCCAAGUAUGGUGCCAUUCCGAGUCCCGCGGACGAACUUCGCCCACGCCCCCCACCAAGGCUAUAGCCCACCCGUUUUUUGGCCAUUUUUCCGCUGGGGGGUCUUGGGACCCCGACCUUCGGGGGCUGAUUUUUGGGCGCGGCUGUGCCCGUGGCCUAUUUUUGGCACACAGAGGCCGCCCGCCAAGUAUGGUGCCAUUCCGAGUCCCGCGGACGAACUUCGCCCACGCCCCCCACCAAGGCUAUAGCCCACCCGUUUUUUGGCCAUUUUUCCGCUGGGGGGUCUUGGGACCCCGACCUUCGGGGGCUGAUUUUUGGGCGCGGCUGUGCCCGUGGCCUAUUUUUGGCACACAGAGGCCGCCCGCCAAGUAUGGUGCCAUUCCGAGUCCCGCGGACGAACUUCGCCCACGCCGCCCACCAAGGCUAUAGCCCACCCGUUUUUUGGCCAUUUUUCCGCUGGGGGGUCUUGGGACCCCGACCUUCGGGGGCUGAUUUUUGGGCGCGGCUGUGCCCGUGGCCUAUUUUUGGUACACAGAGGCCGCCCGCCAAGUAUGGUGCCAUUCCGAGUCCCGCGGACGAACUUCGCCCACGCCCCCCACCAAGGCUAUAGCCCACCCGUUUUUUGGCCAUUUUUCCGCUGGGGGGUCUUGGGACCCCGACCUUCGGGGGCUGAUUUUUGGGCGCGGCUGUGCCCGUGGCCUAUUUUUGGCACACAGAGGCCGCCCGCCAAGUAUGGUGCCAUUCCGAGUCCCGCGGACGAACUUCGCCCACGCCGCCCACCAAGGCUAUAGCCCACCCGUUUUUUGGCCAUUUUUCCGCUGGGGGGUCUUGGGACCCCGACCUUCGGGGGCUGAUUUUUGGGCGCGGCUGUGUCCGUGGCCUACUUUUGGCACACAGAGGCCGCCCGCCAAGUAUGGUGCCAUUCCGAGUCCCGCGGACGAACUUCGCCCACGCCGCCCACCAAGGCUAUAGCCCACCCGUUUUUUGGCCAUUUUUCCGCUGGGGGGUCUUGGGACCCCGACCUUCGGGGGCUGAUUUUUGGGCGCGGCUGUGCCCGUGGCCUAUUUUUGGCACACGGAGGCCGCCCGCCAAGUCAGGGGCCAUUCCGAGUCCCGCGGACGAAGUUCGCCCACGCCCCCCACCAAGGCUAUAGCCCACCCGUUUUUUGGCCAUUUUUCCGCUGGGGGGUCUUGGGACCCCGACCUUCGGGGGCUGAUUUUUGGGCGCGGCUGUGCCCGUGGCCUAUUUUUGGCACACGGAGGCCGCCCGCCAAGUCAGGGGCCAUUCCGAGUCCCGCGGACGAAGUUCGCCCACGCCCCCCACCACGGCUAUAGCCCACCCGUUUUUUGGCCAUUUUUCCACUGGGGGGUCUUGGGACCCCGACCUUCGGGGGCUGAUUUUUGGGCGCGGCUGUGCCCGUGGCCUAUUGUUGGCACACGGAGGCCGCCCGCCAAGUCAGGGGCCAUUCCGAGUCCCGCGGACGAACUUCGCCCACGCCCCCCACCAAGGCUAUAGCCCACCCGUUUUUUGGCCAUUUUUCCGCUGGGGGGUCUUGGGACCCCGACCUUCGGGGUCUGAUUUUUGGGCGCGGCUGUGCCCGUGGCCUAUUUUUGGCACACGGAGGCCGCCCGCCAAGUCAGGGGCCAUUCCGAGUCCCGUGGACGAAGUUCGCCCACGCCCCCCACCAAGGCUAUAGCCCACCCGUUUUUGGCCAUUUUCCGCUGGGGGAUCUUGGGACCCCGACCUUCGGGGGCUGAUUUUUGGGCGCGGCUGUGCCCGUGGCCUAUUUUUGGCACACGGAGGCCGCCCGCCAAGUAAGGUGCCAUUCCGAGUCCCGCGGACGAACUUCGCCCACGCCCCCCACCAAGGCUAUAGCCCACCCGUUUUUUGGCCAUUUUUCCGCUGGGGGGUCUUGGGACCCCGACCUUCGGGGGCUGAUUUUUGGGCGCGGCUGUGCCCGUGGCCUAUUUUUGGCACACGGAGGCCGCCCGCCAAGUAUGGUGCCAUUCCGAGUCCCGCGGACGAACUUCGCCCACGCCGCCCACCAAGGCUAUAGCCCACCCGUUUUUUGGCCAUUUUUCCGCUGGGGGGUCUUGGGACCCCGACCUUCGGGGGCUGAUUUUUGGGCGCGGCUGUGCCCGUGGCCUAUUUUUGGCACACGGAGGCCGCCCGCCAAGUCAGGUGCCAUUCCGAGUCCCGCGGACGAAGUUUGCCCACGCCCCCCACCAAGGCUAUAGCCCACCCGUUUUUUGGCCAUUUUUCCGCUGGGGGGUCUUGGGACCCCGACCUUCGGGGGCUGAUUUUUGGGCGCGGCUGUGCCCGUGGCCUAUUUUUGGCACACGGAGGCCGCCCGCCAAGUAUGGUGCCAUUCCGAGUCCCGCGGACGAACUUCGCCCACGCCGCCCACCAAGGCUAUAGCCCACCCGUUUUUUGGCCAUUUUUCCGCUGGGGGGUCUUGGGACCCCGACCUUCGGGGGCUGAUUUUUGGGCGCGGCUGUGCCCGUGGCCUAUUUUUGGUACCCGGAGGCCGCCCGCCAAGUCAGGGGCCAUUCCGAGUCCCGCGGACGAAGUUCGCCCACGCCCCCCACCAAGGCUAUAGCCCACCCGUUUUUUGGCCAUUUUUCCGCUGGGGGGUCUUGGGACCUCGACCUUCGGGGGCUGAUUUUUGGGCGCGGCUGUGCCCGUGUCCUAUUUUUGGCACACGGAGGCCGCCCGCCAAGUCAGGGGCCAUUCCGAGUCCCGCGGACGAAGUUCGCCCACGCCCCCCACCAAGGCUAUAGCCCACCCGUUUUUUGGCCAUUUUUCCGCUGGGGGGUCUUGGGACCCCGACCUUCGGGGGCUGAUUUUUGGGCGCGGCUGUGCCCGUGGCCUAUUUUUGGCACACAGAGGCCGCCCGCCAAGUAUGGUGCCAUUCCGAGUCCCGCGGACGAACUUCGCCCACGCCGCCCACCAAGGCUAUAGCCCACCCGUUUUUUGACCAUUUUUCCGCUGGGGGGUCUUGGGACCCCGACCUUCGGGGGCUGAUUUUUGGGCGCGGCUGUGCCCGUGGCCUAUUUUUGGUACCCGGAGGCCGUCCGCCAAGUCAGGGGCCAUUCCGAGUCCCGCGGACGAAGUUCGCCCACGCCCCCCACCAAGGCUAUAGCCCACCCGUUUUUUGGCCAUUUUUCCGCUGGGGGGUCUUGGGACCCCGACCUUUGGGGGCUGAUUUUUGGGCGCGGCUGUGCCCGUGGCCUAUUUUUGGCACACGGAGGCCGCCCGCCAAGUCAGGGGCCAUUCCGAGUCCCGCGGACGAAGUUCGCCCACGCCCCCCACCAAGGCUAUAGCCCACCCGUUUUUUGGCCAUUUUUCCGCUGGGGGGUCUUGGGACCCCGACCUUCGGGGGCUGAUUUUUGGGCGCGGCUGUGCCCGUGGCCUAUUUUUGGCACACAGAGGCCGCCCGCCAAGUAUGGUGCCAUUCCGAGUCCCGCGGACGAACUUCGCCCACGCCCCCCACCAAGGCUAUAGCCCCACCCGUUUUUUGGCCAUUUUUCCCGCUUGGGGGGGUCUUGGGACCCCGACCUUCGGGGGCUGAUUUUUGGGCGCGGCUGUGCCCGUGGCCUAUUUUUGGCACACGGAGACCGCCCGCCAAGUAUGGUGCCAUUCCGAGUCCCGCGGACGAACUUCGCCCACGCCCCCCACCAAGGCUAUAGCCCACCCGUUUUUUGGCCAUUUUUCCGCUGGGGGGUCUUGGGACCCCGACCUUCGGGGGCUGAUUUUUGGGCGCGGCUGUGCCCGUGGCCUAUUUUUGGCACACGGAGGCCGCCCGCCAAGUAUGGUGCCAUUCCGAGUCCCGCGGACGAACUUCGCCCACGCCGCCCACCAAGGCUAUAGCCCACCCGUUUUUUGGCCAUUUUUCCGCUGGGGGGUCUUGGGACCCCGACCUUCGGGGGCUGAUUUUUGGGCGCGGCUGUGCCCGUGGCCUAUUUUUGGCACACGGAGGCCGCCCGCCAAGUCAGGGGCCAUUCCGAGUCCCGCGGACGAAGUUCGCCCACGCCCCACACCAAGGCCAUAGCCCACCCGUUUUUUGGCCAUUUUUCCGCUGGGGGGUCUUGGGACCCCGACCUUCGGGGGCUGAUUUUUGGGCGCGGCUGUGCCCGUGGCCUAUUUUUGGCACACAGAGGCCGCCCGCCAAGUAUGGUGCCAUUCCGAGUCCCGCGGACGAACUUCGCCCACGCCGCCCACCAAGGCUAUAGCCCACCCGUUUUUUGGCCAUUUUUCCGCUGGGGGGUCUUGGGACCUCGACCUUCGGGGGCUGAUUUUUGGGCGCGGCUGUGCCCGUGUCCUAUUUUUGGCACACGGAGGCCGCCCGCCAAGUCAGGGGCCAUUCCGAGUCCCGCGGACGAAGUUCGCCCACGCCCCCCACCAAGGCUAUAGCCCACCCGUUUUUUGGCCAUUUUUCCGCUGGGGGGUCUUGGGACCCCGACCUUCGGGGGCUGAUUUUUGGGCGCGGCUGUGCCCGUGGCCUAUUUUUGGCACACGGAGGCCGCCCGCCAAGUCAGGGGCCAUUCCGAGUCCCGCGGACGAACUUCGCCCACGCCCCCCACCAAGGCUAUAGCCCACCCGUUUUUUGGCCAUUUUUCCGCUGGGGGGUCUUGGGACCCCGACCUUCGGGGGCUGAUUUUUGGGCGCGGCUGUGCCCGUGGCCUAUUUUUGGCACACAGAGGCCGCCCGCCAAGUAUGGUGCCAUUCCGAGUCCCGCGGACGAACUUCGCCCACGCCCCCCACCAAGGCUAUAGCCCACCCGUUUUUUGGCCAUUUUUCCGCUGGGGGGUCUUGGGACCCCGACCUUCGGGGGCUGAUUUUUGGGCGCGGCUGUGCCCGUGGCCUAUUUUUGGCACACGGAGGCCGCCCGCCAAGUCAGGGGCCAUUCCGAGUCCCGCGGACGAAGUUCGCCCACGCCCCCCACCAAGGCUAUAGCCCACCCGUUUUUUGGCCAUUUUUCCGCUGGGGGGUCUUGGGACCCCGACCUUCGGGGUCUGAUUUUUGGGCGCGGCUGUGCCCGUGGCCUAUUUUUGGCACACAGAGGCCGCCCGCCAAGUAUGGUGCCAUUCCGAGUCCCGCGGACGAACUUCGCCCACGCCCCCCACCAAGGCUAUAGCCCACCCGUUUUUUGGCCAUUUUUCCGCUGGGGGGUCUUGGGACCCCGACCUUCGGGGGCUGAUUUUUGGGCGCGGCUGUGCCCGUGGUCUAUUUUUGGCACACGGAGGCCGCCCGCCAAGUCAGGGGCCAUUCCGAGUCCCGCGGACGAACUUCGCCCACGCCGCCCACCAAGGCUAUAGCCCACCCGUUUUUUGGCCAUUUUUCCGCUGGGGGGUCUUGGGACCCCGACCUUCGGGGGCUGAUUUUUGUGCGCGGCUGUGCCCGUGGCCUAUUUUUGGCACACAGAGGCCGCCCGCCAAGUAUGGUGCCAUUCCGAGUCCCGCGGACGAACUUCGCCCACGCCCCCCACCAAGGCUAUAGCCCACCCGUUUUUUGGCCAUUUUUCCGCUGGGGGGUCUUGGGACCCCGACCUUCGGGGGCUGAUUUUUGGGCGCGGCUGUGCCCGUGGCCUAUUUUUGGCACACGGAGGCCGCCCGCCAAGUCAGGGGCCAUUCCGAGUCCCGCGGAUGAAGUUCGCCCACGCCCCCCACCAAGGCUAUAGCCCACCCGUUUUUUGGCCAUUUUUCCACUGGGGGGUCUUGGGACCCCGACCUUCGGGGGCUGAUUUUUGUACGCGGCUGUGCCCGUGGCCUAUUUUUGGCACACAGAGGCCGCCCGCCAAGUAUGGUGCCAUUCCGAGUCCCGCGGACGAACUUCGCCCACGCCCCCCACCAAGGCUAUAGCCCACCCGUUUUUUGGCCAUUUUUCCGCUGGGGGGUCUUGGGACCCCGACCUUCGGGGGCUGAUUUUUGGGCGCGGCUGUGCCCGUGGCCUAUUUUUGGCACACGGAGGCCGCCCGCCAAGUCAGGGGCCAUUCCGAGUCCCGCGGACGAAGUUCGCCCACGCCCCCCACGAAGGCUAUAGCCCACCCAUUUUUUGGCCAUUUUUCCACUGGGGGGUCUUGGGAGCCCGACCUUCGGGGGCUGAUUUUUGUGCGCGGCUGUGCCCGUGGCCUAUUUUUGGCACACAGAGGCCGCCCGCCAAGUAUGGUGCCAUUCCGAGUCCCGCGGACGAACUUCGCCCACGCCGCCCACCAAGGCUAUAGCCCACCCGUUUUUUGGCCAUUUUUCCGCUGGGGGGUCUUGGGACCCCGACCUUCGGGGGCUGAUUUUUGGGCGCGGCUGUGCCCGUGGCCUAUUUUUGGCACACGGAGGCCGCCCGCCAAGUCAGGGGCCAUUCCGAGUCCCGCGGACGAAGUUCGCCCACGCCCCCCACCAAGGCUAUAGCCCACCCGUUUUUUGGCCAUUUUUCCGCUGGGGGGUCUUGGGACCCCGACCUUCGGGGGCUGACUUUUGGGAGCGGCUGUGCCCGUGGCCUAUUUUUGGCACACAGAGGCCGCCCGCCAAGUAUGGUGCCAUUCCGAGUCCCGCGGACGAACUUCGCCCACGCCCCCCACCAAGGCUAUAGCCCACCCGUUUUUUGGCCAUUUUUCCGCUGCGGGGUCUUGGGACCCCGACCUUCGGGGGCUGAUUUUUGGGCGCGGCUGUGCCCGUGGCCUAUUUUUGGCACACAGAGGCCGCCCGCCAAGUAUGGUGCCAUUCCGAGUCCCGCAGACGAACUUCGCCUACGCCGCCCACCAAGGCUAUAGCCCACCCGUUUUUUGGCCAUUUUUCCGCUGGGGGGUCUUGGGACCCCGACCUUCGGGGGCUGAUUUUUGGGCGCGGCUGUGCCCGUGGCCUAUUUUUGGCACACGGAGGCCGCCCGCUAAGUCAGGGGCCAUUCCGAGUCCCGCGGACUAAGUUCGCCCACGCCCCCCACCAAGGCCAUUGCCCGACCGUUUUAUGGCCAUUUUUCCACUGGGGGGUCUUGCGACCCCGACCUUCGGGGGCUGAUUUUUGGGCGCGGCUGUGCCCGUGUCCUAUUUUUGGCACACAGAGGCCGCCCGCCAAGUAUGGUGCCAUUCCGAGUCCCGCGGACGAACUUCGCCCACGCCCCCCACCAAGGCUAUAGCCCACCCGUUUUUUGGCCAUUUUUCCGCUGGGGGGUCUUGGGACCCCGACCUUCGGGGGCUGACUUUUGGGCGCGGCUGUGCCCGUGGCCUAUUUUUGGCACACAGAGGCCGCCCGCCAAGUAUGGUGCCAUUCCGAGUCCCGCGGACGAACUUCGCCCACGCCCCCCACCAAGGCUAUAGCCCACCCGUUUUUUGGCCAUUUUUCCGCUGGGGGGUCUUGGGACCCCGACCUUCGGGGGCUGAUUUUUGGGCGCGCCUGUGCCCGUGGCCUAUUUUUGGCACACAGAGGCCGCCCGCCAAGUAUGGUGCCAUUCCGAGUCCCGCGGACGAACUUCGCCCACGCCCCCCACCAAGGCUAUAGCCCACCCGUUUUUUGGCCAUUUUUCCGCUGGGGGGUCUUGGGACCCCGACCUUCGGGGGCUGACUUUUGGGCGCGGCUGUGCCCGUGGCCUAUUUUUGGCACACAGAGGCCGCCCGCCAAGUAUGGUGCCAUUCCGAGUCCCGCGGACGAACUUCGCCCACGCCCCCCACCAAGGCUAUAGCCCACCCGUUUUUUGGCCAUUUUUCCGCUGGGGGGUCUUGGGACCCCGACCUUCGGGGGCUGAUUUUUGGGCGCGCCUGUGCCCGUGGCCUAUUUUUGGCACACAGAGGCCGCCCGCCAAGUAUGGUGCCAUUCCGAGUCCCGCGGACGAACUUCGCCCACGCCGCCCACCAAGGCUAUAGCCCACCCGUUUUUUGGCCAUUUUUCCGCUGGGGGGUCUUGGGACCCCGACCUUCGGGGGCUGAUUUUUGGGCGUGGCUGUGCCCGUGGCCUAUUUUUGGCACACGGAGGCCGCCCGCCAAGUCAGGGGCCAUUCUGAGUCCCGCGGACGAAGUUCGCCCACGCCCCACACCAAGGCCAUAGCCCACCCGUUUUUUGGCCAUUUUUCCGCUGGGGGGUCUUGGGACCCCGACCUUCGGGGGCUGACUUUUGGGAGCGGCUGUGCCCGUGGCCUAUUUUUGGCACACAGAGGCCGCCCGCCAAGUAUGGUGCCAUUCCGAGUCCCGCGGACGAACUUCGCCCACGCCCCCCACGAAGGCUAUAGCCCACCCGUUUUUUGGCAAUUUUUCCGCUGGGGGGUCUUGGGACCCCGACCUUCGGGGGCUGAUUUUUGGGCGCGGCUGUGCCCGUGGCCUAUUUUUGGCACACGGAGGCCGCCCGCCAAGUCAGGGGCCAUUCCGAGUCCCGCGGACGAAGUUCGCCCACGCCCUCCACCAAGGCUAUAGCCCACCCGUUUUUUGGCUAUUUUUCCACUGGGGGGUCUUGGGACCCCGACUUUCGGGUGCUGAUUUUUGGGCGCGGCUGUGCCCGUGGCCUAUUUUUGGCACACAGAGGCCGCCCGCCAAGUAUGGUGCCAUUCCGAGUCCCGCGGACGAACUUCGCCCACGCCCCCCACCAAGGCUAUAGCCCACCCGUUUUUUGGCCAUUUUUCCGCUGGGGGGUCUUGGGACCCCGACCUUCCGGGGCUGAUUUUUGAGCGCGGCUGUGCCCGUGGCCUAUUUUUGGCACACAGAGGCCGCCCGCCAAGUAUGGUGCCAUUCCGAGUCCCGCGGACGAACUUCGCCCACGCCGCCCACCAAGGCUAUUGCCCACCCGUUUUUUGGCCAUUUUUCCGCUGGGGGGUCUUGGGACCCCGACCUUCGGGGGCUGAUUUUUGGGCGCGGCUGUGCCCGUGGCCUAUUUUUGGCACACAGAGGCCGCCCGCCAAGUAUGGUGCCAUUCCGAGUCCCGCGGACGAACUUCGCCCACGCCGCCCACCAAGGCUAUAACCCACCCGUUUUUUGGCCAUUUUUCCGCUGGGGGGUCUUGGGACCCCGACCUUCGGGGGCUGAUUUUUGGGCGCGGCUGUGCCCGUGGCCUAUUUUUGGC